AGUGGCGAACGGGUGAGUAAUGCAUCGGAACGUGCCCAAUCGUGGGGGAUAACGCAGCGAAAGCUGUGCUAAUACCGCAUACGAUCUAUGGAUGAAAGCGGGGGAUCGCAAGACCUCGCGCGAUUGGAGCGGCCGAUGUCAGAUUAGCUAGUUGGUGGGGUAAAGGCCCACCAAGGCGACGAUCUGUAGCUGGUCUGAGAGGACGACCAGCCACACUGGGACUGAGACACGGCCCAGACUCCUACGGGAGGCAGCAGUGGGGAAUUUUGGACAAUGGGCGCAAGCCUGAUCCAGCAAUGCCGCGUGCAGGAAGAAGGCCUUCGGGUUGUAAACUGCUUUUGUACGGAACGAAAAGGUCUGGGUUAAUACCCUGGGCUCAUGACGGUACCGUAAGAAUAAGCACCGGCUAACUACGUGCCAGCAGCCGCGGUAAUA
rnacentral:rRNA from 1 species